rnacentral:lncRNA from 1 species
GGCCUCGGGGCUUUCCGAGCCGCCGCCCUCCUAGCGGCAGGAAGGCUGCAGCAGCUCCGCGAUGCUGAUGCUCGGGCUGGAGAACGCCGCGCCCACGCCUCCCGUCCCUUCAAGCCCACCACUCCGUCCUGGGGCCCAGCCCUCCGCAGCCCCGCUGCACCGCCCGCCCCGCCCAGCCCAGCCCAGCUGCUGCACCGCCCUGCAGCCUGCACACAAGCCCCGGCCCAGGGCAACACCUACCCGGAGAUCCCGGGGCCGCCUCUCUGGGACUACAACUCCCAGAAAUCCGCUCCCCAGCCGGCUCGCCGGCGCCGAUUGGCUCGCUGCGCCAUCCAUCAACCACCAACCACCGGAAGACGGCUGCGGACGGCGCGCCACGGCCAAUCACGAGAGCGAGGGGGCGGGAGCUCCCCCAGCCGGUCCGACGCUCGGAGUGCAGGCGUGGCGGGACGCCGAAGGAGUCGGUUCUUCGGAGAGCCACGGCGAGUCAGUGGUCGGAGAGUUGACAGGCCGGCCCUGCGCGGAGUGAUGGCCUGGGGCAGAAGCCCCGUUUUGCCCAGAAGACUCCGGAGUCCGCUCCGCCGGCUGCUGCCCUCGGCGCCAGGCCCAGCGGCCUUCGCCCCGCCCCCCGUCUCUCAUUGGCUCCCCCGGGACACGUGGGGGGAAGGAGGCGUGGCCACCGCGGCUGGGGCUGGCGGCCUGCGGCCGGCGGGGAUGAGAGGCCCGCGGACUCGGGCCUGGGGCCGCAUGGCAACCGUGGUGCCGGGCUGCUGGCGACGGCGGAGGGCGGAGGAGCUUCAGGUUCCGGGGGACGCGAAACGGGCAUGCAGGAGAGGAGAAGCAGCCGGGCCAGAGUGGGGCCGAGCCCCUGUGAAGCUCAGUGCCCCAGUGUCCUGCAGCGGCGAGGGGCUGCCACGUGUGGGGAUUCCUCAGAACGGCGGAAGGAGCUGGGCCCAGCCUUGCCCGAGAUGUAUGGCGGGGGAGUCUACCUAA